rnacentral:rRNA from 1 species
GAUGAACGCUGGCGGCGUGCCUAAUACAUGCAAGUCGAGCGAACAGACGAGGAGCUUGCUCCUCUGACGUUAGCGGCGGACGGGUGAGUAACACGUGGAUAACCUACCUAUAAGACUGGGAUAACUUCGGGAAACCGGAGCUAAUACCGGAUAAUAUAUUGAACCGCAUGGUUCAAUAGUGAAAGACGGUUUUGCUGUCACUUAUAGAUGGAUCCGCGCCGCAUUAGCUAGUUGGUAAGGUAACGGCUUACCAAGGCAACGAUGCGUAGCCGACCUGAGAGGGUGAUCGGCCACACUGGAACUGAGACACGGUCCAGACUCCUACGGGAGGCAGCAGUAGGGAAUCUUCCGCAAUGGGCGAAAGCCUGACGGAGCAACGCCGCGUGAGUGAUGAAGGUCUUCGGAUCGUAAAACUCUGUUAUUAGGGAAGAACAACUGUGUAGGUAACUAUGCACGUCUUGACGGUACCUAAUCAGAAAGCCACGGCUAACUACGUG